CCUACGGGAGGCAGCAGUAAGGAAUCUUCCGCAAUGGGCGAAAGCCUGACGGAGCAACGCCGCGUGGGCGAUGAAGGCCUUCGGGUCGUAAAGCCCUUUUCUGUGGGACGAUAAUGACGGUACCACAGGAAUAAGCCACGGCUAACUACGUGCCAGCAGCCACGGUAAUACGUAGGUGGCUAGCGUUAUCCGGAUUCACUGGGCGUAAAGAGCGCGUAGGCGGUGUGCUAAGUUGGACGUGAAAGCCCCCGGCUAAACCGGGAGAGGUCGUCCAAUACUGGUGCACUUGAGGGUGGACGGGGAAAGCGGAAUUCCCGGUGGAGCGGUAAAAUGCGUAGAUAUCGGGAGGAACACCAGAGGCGAAGGCGGCUCUCUAUGCUACUCCUGACGCUGAGGCACGAAAGCUAGGGGAGCAAACGGGUUUAGAUACCCCUGUAGU
rnacentral:rRNA from 1 species